rnacentral:rRNA from 1 species
GUAGGUGGCAAGCGUUGUCCGGAAUUAUUGGGCGUAAAGCGCGCGCAGGCGGGUCCUUUAAGUCUGAUGUGAAAGCCCACGGGCUCAACCGUGGAGGGUCAUUGGAAACUGGGGGACUUGAGUACAGAGAGGAAGGCGGAAUUCCAAGUGUAGCGGUGAAAUGCGUGAGAUUUGGAGGAACACCAGUGGCGAAGGCGGCUUUCUGGUCUGUAACUGACGCUGAGGCGCGAAAGCGUGGGGAGCAAACAGGAUUAGAUACCCUGGUAGUCCACGCCGUAAACGAUGAGUGCUAAGUGUUAGGGGGUUUCCGCCCCUUAGUGCUGCAGCUAACGCAUUAAGCACUCCGCCUGGGGAGUACGGCCGCAAAGGCUG